rnacentral:rRNA from 1 species
GACGAACGCUGGCGGCGUGCCUAAUACAUGCAAGUCGAACGCAGUGGGGACGGGCGAGUAACACGUGGGUAACCUCCCAUCAGAGGGGAUAACACUUGGAAACAGGUGCUAAACCGAUACUGAUGGAUGGACCCGCGGUGCAUUAGCUAGUUGGUGAGGUAACGGCUCACCAAGGCCACGAUGCAUAGCGAACAUGAGAGGGUGUACGGACACACUGGGACUGAGGAACGUCCCAAACCCGUACGGGAGGAAGCAAGAGGGAAUCAUCACGAAUGGACGAAAGUCAGACCGAGCAAGGGCAAGUGAAAGAAAAAUGAUUGCGGAGCGUAAAACUCUGUUGUUAGAGAAGCUGUAUCUAACCAGAAAGCAACGGCUUACUGCGUGCCAGCAGCCGCGGUAAUUC